GUCCCAUGUGUUGGUACCUUCACCGCAGGGAGAUUUCCUGGUGGUAAUGUGCAGGACUUUUGUUGGCAUCCUCACAGGUCCCUUAACCCUCAGUCUCUUGUCUUUGGCACCCCGAACCAAAUCAGCACAAACCUUUUCAAGGUUCUUCACAUUCUUCGACGAAAGAGUGAUCCUAAUCUUGUGGAUCUGCUCUUGAGCGUCCUCCAAACCAGGCUUCGUAGGCUUCAUCGCUGCAUACGCCAUGUUUGCUUACUUCCGGAGGAAGGGGCGGCUAGCGGUGCUAGGCUUUUCGGUUGGAG
rnacentral:misc_RNA from 1 species